AAACCAGCACCUCAAGUGGUCAGGAUGAUUAUUGGGCCUAAAGCAUCCGUAGCCUGUUCUGUAAGUUUUCGGUUAAAUCUGUAUGCUCAACAUACAGGCUGCCGGAAAUACUGCAGGACUAGGGAGUGGGAGAGGUAGACGGUACUCGGGAGGAAGUGGUAAAAUGCUUUGAUCUCUCGAUGACCACCUGUGGCGAAGGCGGUCUACCAGAACACGUCCGACGGUGAGGGAUGAAAGCUGGGGGAGCAAACCGGAUUAGAAACCCCAGUAGUCC
rnacentral:rRNA from 1 species